rnacentral:rRNA from 1 species
GGUAUGAAUGGUUUAACGAGAAAUUAACUUUUUUUGUUGUAAAGUUUGAAUUUAAUUUUUUAGUGAAAAAGCUAAAAUUUUUCAGAAAGACGAGAAGACCCUAUAGAGUUUUAUAUUUAUAUUCUUUAAGUUUAAAUUGAUUUAUUAGAACAUGAUGAAUUACAAUAUUUUGUUGGGGCGACAUUUAGAUAAAUAAAACUCUUUAUAACAAAAAUUUUUAUAAAAAUAUAGAAUGAUCCUUUAAAAAAGAUCAAAAGAAAAAUUACCUUAGGGAUAACAGCGUAAUCUUUUUUGAGAGUUCUAAUCGACAAGAAGGUUUGCGACCU